ensembl:lncRNA
UGCACCCUCACUGACGGCUGAUUCGCCCGCUCCUCCUGUCCAAGCGCAAUGCUUGAGGUCAAUGGAAAAAUAUAUUAGGCACAGAGAAGAGGGUCGGCGACAUUUGCAGUUUACCAAAGGCAUCAAACAGUGCUGAAAAACCCAGUGCUUCUCAGGGGCCGGGCUGUUCAGGAGAGAUACUGAUUAAUAUAGGCCAGGAGGACAGCAGACAAAAUGUUGCUGAAACAACAGGUCAUCCAACCCUACAUUACUGGCCUGGAGACAGAACUGAGAAGGAGAUUCCAGGAGCUGGACAUCCUAGGAGCCUUCCAUGUCCUUAGACCGACUGAGGUCUAAGGAUAUGCCCUCCCUGACAAUAUGUCCAUUGCACAGCUGCAGACUCUGGCAAAAAAAAUCUGUCCAGAUCAAGAGAAGAACAAGAGCCAGGAGGAGCUCCUGACUCUGCUGGCGAGUGAGUAUGAUGAGUGGUUAGACCUCUACCCCUGCCUCAGUCUCCUUGCCAGCAUUGCCCUGAUUGUCCCAGUCUCAUCUGUGAAUUGCGAGCGGGAUUUCUCAGCUAUGAAUAGGAUAAAAACAGACCUCAGGAACAGGCUUCAAGGGGAACACCUGGCAGCCUGGUUAGGAAUCUCCAUAAAUGGGCCAGAACCGAAGGAGGUCCCUUAUGACCUCGGACUUGAGUUCUUUUUCAGGAACACACGUAGAAUUAAGUGUUCUGAUGGGGCAUGCAAGCUUUGCACAUUAUGCUAAUGCAGUUUCAUUAUUUUAGUUAGUUGCCCUGUUGUACCUAGUAGUAUAUUGUUAUUAUUUAUUUAAUUUUUCCUAAAAAAGUUAAAUAUUUG